GACGAACGCUGGCGGCGUGCUUAACACAUGCAAGUCGAACGGAAAGGCCCUGCUUUUGUGGGGUGCUCGAGUGGCGAACGGGUGAGUAACACGUGAGUAACCUGCCCUUGACUUUGGGAUAACUUCAGGAAACUGGGGCUAAUACCGGAUAGGAGCUCCUGCUGCAUGGUGGGGGUUGGAAAGUUUCGGCGGCUGGGGAUGGACUCGCGGCUUAUCAGCUUGUUGGUGGGGUAGUGGCUUACCAAGGCUUUGACGGGUAGCCGGCCUGAGAGGGUGACCGGCCACAUUGGGACUGAGAUACGGCCCAGACUCCUACGGGAGGCAGCAGUAGGGAAUAUUGCACAAUGGGCGGAAGCCUGAUGCAGCAACGCCGCGUGCGGGAUGACGGCCUUCGGGUUGUAAACCGCUUUCGCCUGUGACGAAGCGUGAGUGACGGUAAUGGGUAAAGAAGCACCGGCUAACUACGUG
rnacentral:rRNA from 1 species